rnacentral:snRNA from 1 species
GUGCUCACUUCAUACAGCAUAUAUACUAAAUUUGGAAACAAUACAGAGAAGAUUAGCAGGACCCUUGCACAAGGAUGACAUGCAAAUUCAUCAAAUGUUCCAAUAUAUU